UAACCUGCUAAAUAGCCCGUAUUGCUUUGGCAGUACGCUGGCUUCUUAGAGGGACUUUCGGCUCAAGCCGAAGGAAGUUUGAGGCAAUAACAGGUCUGUGAUGCCCUUAGAUGUCCUGGGCUGCACGCGCGUUACACUGACGGAGCCAGCGAGUACUCCCUUGUCCGAAAGGUCCGGGUAAUCUUGUUAAACUCCGUCGUGCUGGGGAUAGAGCAUUGCAAUUAUUGCUCUUCAACGAGGAAUCCCUAGUAAGCGCAAGUCAUCAGCUUGCGUUGAUUACGUCCCUGCCCUUUGUACACACCGCCCGUCGCU
rnacentral:rRNA from 1 species